AACGAACGCUGGCGGCAGGCUUAACACAUGCAAGUCGAACGGGCACCUUCGGGUGUCAGUGGCAGACGGGUGAGUAACGCGUGGGAACGUACCCUUCGGUUCGGAAUAACCCAGGGAAACUUGGGCUAACACCGGAUACGUCCGCAAGGAGAAAGAUUUAUCGCCGAAGGAUCGGCCCGCGUAGGAUUAGCUAGUUGGUGAGGUAACGGCUCACCAAGGCGACGAUCCUUAGCUGGUCUGAGAGGAUGAUCAGCCACACUGGGACUGAGACACGGCCCAGACUCCUACGGGAGGCAGCAGUGGGGAAUAUUGGACAAUGGGCGCAAGCCUGAUCCAGCCAUGCCGCGUGAGUGACGAAGGCCUUAGGGUUGUAAAGCUCUUUGGCGGGAAGAUAAUGACGGUACCCGCAGAAUAAGCUCCGGCUAACUUCGUGCCAGCCGCCGCGGUAA
rnacentral:rRNA from 1 species